rnacentral:rRNA from 1 species
UAAGUAUGGUUCAAGCUUUAAUCGGAAUUACUGGGCGUAAAGCGUGCGCAGGCGGUUAUAUAAGACAGAUGUGAAAUCCCCGGGCUCAACCUGGGAACUGCAUUUGUGACUGUAUAGCUAGAGUACGGCAGAGGGGGAUGGAAUUCCGCGUGGAGCAGUGAAAUGCGUAGAUAGGCGGAGGAACACCGAUGGCGAAGGCAAUCCCCUGGGACUGUACUUAAGCGCAUUCACAACAGCGAGGAGAGAAAACAGUAUUAGAUAACACCGUAGUCC